GACCCACUAGCUCAUCCGGUAGAGCACAGCCCUUUUAAGGCUGGUGUGCCCCGUUCGAGUCGGGGGUGGGUCACCA
rnacentral:tRNA from 1 species